UACGUAGGUGGCAAGCGUUGUCCGGAUUUACUGGGCGUAAAGAGCGCGCAGGCGGUCGGUCAAGUCGCGUGUGAAAGCCCCCGGCUCAACUGGGGAGGGUCACGCGAUACUGAUCGACUCGAAGGCAGGAGAGGGUAGUGGAAUUCCCGGUGUAGUGGUGAAAUGCGUAGAUAUCGGGAGGAACACCAGUGGCGAAGGCGACUACCUGGCCUGUUCUUGACGCUGAGGCGCGAAAGCGAGGGGAGCAAACGGG
rnacentral:rRNA from 1 species